rfam:Catenaria anguillulae PL171 BCR44scaffold_8, whole genome shotgun sequence.
UCUCCUGUAGUAUAGUGGUUAGUAUCCGCGCCUGUCACGCGCGAGGCCCGGGUUCGAUUCCCGGCGGGAGAG